AUGUAUAGCAACCACCCCGCAGUUGUUCUGGAAUUUUCUCAUAACAGUCAUUUCAAAUAACCGUCGUUUCAAAUAACCAUCGCUUCGCUCUCGAUCCGUUUUGGCCUGUGCUUCUUCGGUGCAACUUUGUUGUGUAUUCAAGCCACUCAUCUGUUUCCAUGGUUUCUGUCAUUUAGUUUAUCUGCAUCACCUGUGUUUAGUUAAUUACCAUCAUCAUCAUCUGUUCCACCUGUGUUCUGUUAAUCAAUGUUCAUCUGUGUUAGUAUUUAGUUCCUUUAGUUCAGUCAGUCUUUGGUCGUUUUACUUUGUAGUCUUGUUUAGUGUGUGUGUACAUCCUGCCUGUCUGUACCUUUUGGAGUUACUUUAUUAGUAAAACAUUUGAAUUGGAA